rnacentral:lncRNA from 1 species
AACUUUUAGAGGAAAAACUGAUGAGUUGAGAAGAUGCUUUUGGUAGAUUUAUCUGGAAGUCCAUGUGUGGGGAAAUAAGGAUGAGAAGGAAAAUUCUCAAAUUUAAGAGUACAUAUUCUCAUUUCUCCUCAUUUUUUCCCCUCUUUAGGUGGAGUUGGGGGCUGGAAAAARAACAUUUAGAAGAAAAGGGAAACACUCAUUAUGAGAUUGACUGGGCACAUUUUGAUUAUAGAGGAUUGAAAUCUGUACCAACCAACAUCAUACUGAAACCUGGUAAUACAGACUAUGUGGCUGGCAAGCUGCCAUCAGCUGUGUGCUUCAUGCCAGGAGAAAGCAGAAAAAUGGAGAGGUCCCAGAUGCUGUUCUGUGAUCUGCUGGUAAAAUGUAGCUGUGGUCCCUGUGGAUCUAGCAGUGAGAUCAGUGAGCCUGAAGCAAGCAACAGGGAGCAGGUGAAGGUUGGGUAGAAGGUAAGAACCUGCAAAAAUUGC